GGGCCCGCACAAGCGGCGGAGCAUGCGGAUUAAUUCGAUGCAACGCGAAGAACCUUACCAAGGCUUGACAUAUAUUCGAAGCUAUUAGAGAUAGUAGUGCCUUUUUGGCGGAUAUACAGGUGGUGCAUGGUUGUCGUCAGCUCGUGUCGUGAGAUGUUGGGUUAAGUCCCGCAACGAGCGCAACCCUUGUUCUAUGUUGCCAGCACGUUAUGGUGGGGACUCAUAGGAGACUGCCGGGGUCAACUCGGAGGAAGGUGGGGAUGACGUCAAAUCAUCAUGCCCCUUAUGUCUUGGGGCUUCACGCAUGCUACAAUGGCCGGUACAGAGGGCUGCGAUUCCGCAAGGAUGAGCGAAUCCCUUAAAGCCGGUCUCAGUUCGGAUUGAGGUCUGCAACUCGACCUCAUGAAGUCGGAGUCGCUAGUAAUCGCAGAUCAGCAACGCUGCGGUGAAUACGUUCUCGGGCCUUGCACAC
rnacentral:rRNA from 1 species